rnacentral:rRNA from 1 species
UGGGGAAUAUUGGGCAAUGGGCGCAAGCCUGACCCAGCCACGCCGCGUGAGUGAUGAAGGCCUUCGGGUCGUAAAGCUCUGUGGGGAGGGAAGAAAAGCUACGUGCUAAUACCACGGAGUCUUGACGGUACCUCCUUAGCAAGCACCGGCUAACCACGUGCCAGCAGCCGCGGUAAUACGUGGGGUGCAAACGUUGCUCGGAAUUAUUGGGCGUAAAGCGCACGUAGGCGGCUCUCUAAGUCGCAUGUGAAAGCCCCAGGCUUAACCUGGGAAGUGCAUGCGAUACUGGAAAGCUUGAGUACUAGAGGGGGUCGCGGAAUUCCCGGUGUAGAGGUGAAAUUCGUAGAUAUCGGGAGGAACACCAGCGGCGAAGGCGGCGACCUGGAUAGAUACUGACGCU